CCUACGGGGGGCAGCAGCUAAGAAUCUUCCACAAUGGACGAAAGUCUGAUGGAGCGACGCCGCGUGAAUGAUGAAGGCCGUGAGGUUGUAAAGUUCUUUUCGGGAGGAGGAAUGAAGUUAUCAGGGAAUGGAUGACAGAUGACGAGAAUCCCGGAAUAAGCCCCGGCUAACUACGUGCCAGCAGCCGCGGUAACACGUAGGGGGCGAGCGUUGUUCGGAAUCAUUGGGCGUAAAGGGUGCGCAGGCGGCUUAGCAAGUCUGGUGUGAAAUGGUUGUGCUCAACACAAUCAGGCGCCGGAAACUGAGAAGCUAGAGUCAACGAGGGGAUGCCGGAAUUCCAGGUGUAGGGGUGAAAUCUGUAGAUAUCUGGAAGAACACCAAUGGCGAAGGCAGGCAUCUGGCGAUUGACUG
rnacentral:rRNA from 1 species